rnacentral:misc_RNA from 1 species
AAGUCGUAACAAGGUCUCCGUUGGUGAACCAGCGGAGGGAUCAUUACAGAGUUAUCCAACUCCCAAACCCAUGUGAACUUACCUUUGUUGCCUCGGCAGAAGCUACCUGCACCUACCUGGAACAGCCUACCUGAAGCGAUCCGGGCUGGCCUACCUGGACCGGUCUGGUGGUCGACUGCCGGUGGACCAUUCAACUCUUGUUAUUUUAUUGUAAUCUGAGCGUCUUAUUUUAAUAAGUCAAAA